GCGCAGCAGGCGCGAAUCCUCUGCAAUAGGCGAAAGCUUGACAGGGUUACUCUGAGUGAUUUCCGUUAAGGAGAUCUUUGGCACCUCUAAAAAUGGUGCAGAAUAAGGGGUGGGCAAGUCUGGUGUCAGCCGCCGCGGUAAUACCAGCGACCCCGAGUGGUCGGGACGAUUAUUGGGCCUAAAGCAUCCGUAGCCGGUUACUACAAGUCUUCCGUUAAAAUCCAACCUGCUCAACAGAUGGGCUGCGGAAGAUACCUAUGGAGCUAGGAGGCGGGAGAGGCAAGCGGUACUCAGUGGGUAGGGGUAAAAUCCGUUGAUCCAUUGAAGACCACCAGUGGCGAAGGCGGCUUGCCAGAACGCGCUCGACGGUGAGGGAUGAAAGCUGGGGGAGCAAAACCGG
rnacentral:rRNA from 1 species